CCAGAGGCCUGAAAGUUAGCACCUUUGAUAGCUCUUUUAACGGGCUCCAUAGGUGUGAAUUACCACCAGUGUGCCCCUCCUAACUUCUUACCUUAGCUAACCAGUCUGCAGAAUUUGUUAAGUUACUUGAUGGAAAGUAUAAAAGUAUAUAUUCUUUUUCUUAGACCAUAUUCACAUACAUCCAAAUACCCCACUGAAUUCAAUUAAGAUAGUGAAAUGUUCUUAAGAAUAUAAUCAAAUAAAAUGUCCUGGGCUUUCUUGCAGAAGGCUACUGACUUAAAAAUAAUUCAUGGUGUUUUGAAUCGGUUGAUGUAUUUAUUUGCACUCCUGUAGUAAUUUACAGUCAUGAAAGCUAAAUUGUGACUUAACUUUUUUCCCCUGUCAGUAGGCUUUUACAGAUUUAUUGACCAGAUGUCCUGGAAGUGCCCCCUGAUGCAGACCCAGUUGUUUGGUAGCCACCCACGCACGUUGACACAGCCCCCAGCAGUGGGCACCCAUGGGGAUGGACCCAGGAGUGGAGGAUGACCCAAUAGGUGGUGGGUAGCCACCCAUGCACGUUGACACAACCAGCAGCGAGUACCCAGGGCGAUGGACCCAGAAGUGGAGGAUGAUCCAAUAGGUGUGAGGAAAAGACGCAUACUAGAGGGAGUCGAGGACUUGGCUGGCCUACAAAAUGUCACUAAGGGAUGCAACUGACAGCUGAAGUAGGAUCUUUUUUGUUUUUUGGCCAUGACAAUGCUUUGACAGUUGAUAAUAAACUGAUAAUUACGAUA